rnacentral:lncRNA from 1 species
CAUCUCAGUUUCUUGCAACUAAAGAUCUCAUUAAGAAAACACUCUCAUGAUCUAUUCCUUUCAAGCAGGUAGGGCUGAAGGGAGAAAAGAUGAAUCUCAUCUCUCCAAAUAGCGUUUCUUCAGUCGACUGGACAAAGGGUUCACUGAUUGCACAGAAAGAUCAGCCUUUAGCAUGGCAUAAGGUAAAUCUCAACAAAGAAUUCACAAAAAGAAUCAAAAUUAUCAUAUCAUGUAUUCAAACUCUAUUUUGCAGACAUACUUCGACACACCUGAUGGAGACGAGCCACUUGCUUUAGACAUGGGUAGCAUGGGGAAAGGCGAACUGUGGGUCAACGGCGAGAGUCUUGGAAGAUACUGGACAGAGUAUGCUGCUGGUGAUUGCAACAGCUGUAGUUACAAGGGUGUUUAUAAGCCUCCAAAGUGUCAACUUGGUUGUGGGCAACCAACUCAGAGAUGGUACUAACAAAUUCAUACUACAGAUCAACUUAGAGCACAAUGUCAGUUGAAAUUUUUACUAAUCAGAAAUUAUGCAUUCAGGUAUCAUCUACCACGGUCAUGGCUAAAACCGACACAGAACCUCCUCGUGCUUUUUGAAGAACUUGGAGGUGACCCAAAAGGCAUCACUCUCGUCAAGAGGUCACUGACGAAAGUUUGUGCAGAUGUCGCUGAGUAUCACCCAAACAGUAAGAGAUGGCAAACUGAAAGCAACAGUAAAACACAAGUAUUCCGCCAACCCAAAGUUCACCUUCACUGUGAUCUGGGACAGUCCAUAUCUUCCAUCAAAUUUGC